rnacentral:rRNA from 1 species
CAGCAGCCGCGGUAAUACGAAGGGUGCAAGCGUUACUCGGAAUUACUGGGCGUAAAGCGUGCGUAGGUGGUGGUUUAAGUCCGUUGUGAAAGCCCUGGGCUCAACCUGGGAAUUGCAGUGGAUACUGGGUCACUAGAGUGUGGUAGAGGAUAGUGGAAUUUCCGGUGUAGCAGUGAAAUGCGUAGAGAUCGGAAGGAACAUCUGUGGCGAAGGCGACUAUCUGGGCCAACACUGACACUGAGGCACGAAAGCGUGGGGAGCAAACAGGAUUAGAUACCCCAGUAGUCCCUGUCUCUUAUAC